rnacentral:misc_RNA from 1 species
AAGUCGUAACAAGGUCUCCGUUGGUGAACCAGCGGAGGGAUCAUUACUGAGUUUACAACUCCCUAACCCACUGUGAACCUACCUAAGUUGCUUCGGCGGGGAGCCCCGGGGGCCGCUGGCCCCGGAGCCAGGCCCCCGCCGAGGGGCCCAAACUCUCUGUAUUUUCAGUUGUAUUUCUCUGAGUUAUAGCGGAAUAGAAUCAAAACUUUCAACAACGGAUCUCUUGGCUCUG